rnacentral:tRNA from 1 species
GGGGACGUAGCUCAAUGGUAGAGUGCUUGCCUAGCAUGCAUGAGGUCCUGGGUUUGGUCCCAGCACCACUU